CACAGUAAUUUACAUAAAAGGUCGAUAUUUUGAUCGUCUUUAACUAAAGCUAGAAAAUAAAUCAAACCAUGUAUCGGACGACCACCUCGUACGCAUGGUCGGCCUAUCUUGCCGCAUCGUCAUUGCCGUCUACAUCGUUGUUAUUGUUGUCCCUCCAGCGGCGAAAGGGCGACGAAGGGCCGCGUCAACCUUGUUCGGCGGCUGCCUGUCGCUUGCGGAGGAGCCGCUCUGCCUCCUACUACGUGGUGCGCAGGGCUGCCGCAACAUAAGCCAAUACCGAUGGCGCUCAUGAAGCUCUGACGGCAGGCUUGACGCUGUCGACGUUGAUGAAGGAGUCCCUAAGCGAUCACUUCUAGCGGUCAUCUCUGCUGUGGUGACGGAGCAGUCGAAGGCCACAUAGAAAUGAGAUACAGAUCGUUGCGGAUCCAUUCCGACGCCGCAUUGGACAUCCAUCCAAUUUAUCGUCGAUUUGCACACAAAAAAAAUUCACAUUCAAACAGGUCUGCCGCGUUAAAGAUGUCCUUAGUCCCAACAUGAUUUGAUCGGUAAGAGCUAACAGCUAACAGCCCAUUAAAAUUUAUAUGAGUUUCAUGAAUAUAAGUGGGACCCCGCUUACAAAUACUAGCCGCCAUCGUCCAUAUAGGAAUUUUACAUGUAAGUCUGAUUUAUGGGAGAAUUCUAUUUCAGAUUUUAUUUUUCUUCUUCUUGUAAAUGAUAUGACCAUUCUAUAAGAAAUAAAGUCAUUCAUCCAUAAAGAAAAAUAGUACUAAAGCAAGUUAAUAAAAAAAUAACAAUACUAAAGCAAUUUUUCUUUCAUUUUUGACUUUUCUUUCUCAUUUCUACUGUCUAUGUUACAUGGCCUCAGUGAAUAGUAAAAACACACAUUGUUCAGACGUAAACAGUUGCCUAUAUAAACAGUACUUUUUACGUGAACAGUGGACUGUAGAUAAAAUUCUAAAAAAGGUACACAUCAUUUAUCUCCCCC
rnacentral:lncRNA from 1 species